rnacentral:rRNA from 1 species
GCAGUCGAACGAAGCACCUUGAUUUGAUUCUUCGGAUGAAGGUCUUGGUGACUGAGUGGCGGACGGGUGAGUAACGCGUGGGUAACCUGCCUCAUACAGGGGGAUAACAGUUAGAAAUGACUGCUAAUACCGCAUAAGACCACAGCACCGCAUGGUGCAGGGGUAAAAACUCCGGUGGUAUGAGAUGGACCCGCGUCUGAUUAGGUAGUUGGUGGGGUAACGGCCUACCAAGCCGACGAUCAGUAGCCGACCUGAGAGGGUGACCGGCCACAUUGGGACUGAGACACGGCCCAAACUCCUACGGGAGGCAGCAGUGGGGAAUAUUGCACAAUGGGGGAAACCCUGAUGCAGCGACGCCGCGUGAGUGAAGAAGUAUCUCGGUAUGUAAAGCUCUAUCAGCAGGGAAGAAAAUGACGGUACCUGACUAAGAAGCCCCGGCUAACUACGUGCCAGCAGCCGCGGUAAUACGUAGGGGGCAAGCGUUAUCCGGAUUUACUGGGUGUAAAGGGAGCGUAGACGGCGGAGCAAGUCUGAAGUGAAAGCCCGGGGCUCAACCCCGGGACUGCUUUGGAAACUGUUCUGCUAGAGUGCUGGAGAGGUAAGUGGAAUUCCUAGUGUAGCGGUGAAAUGCGUAGAUAUUAGGAGGAACACCAGUGGCGAAGGCGGCUUACUGGACAGUAACUGACGUUGAGGCUCGAAAGCGUGNGGAGCAAACAGGANUAGAUACCCUGGUAGUCCACGCCGU